CUCUGGUCAAGGGCUUUUGACCCUGUGUUAUGUGACUCUCCGUGCUGGAGUCCCUACUCACCUCUGCUUUCACUUUCUACUUCAGUUAUGUGUGGCUGGGAUUUGAAGACAUCAAGUCAAAAUCCAAGAAACACAAAAAUUAAUAAAUUUAAUUUUUCUCCGCACUACUCAACAGGGAUGAAACCUCAGAUCCCCAGUGUGUACCUCUGCCAUGAGAAUCACCCUCUGCCCGGUGUCCACCCUGCACAGGCCUGAGGAACUCAGGAGCCAACUGUUCUCAGACCCAGGGCUCCACAGGCCUGUGACAUUCAUCUCCCUCAUCUCAUCGGCUCAUAAAGUGGGAGUGAAGGUCAGAGAGGGAACGAGAGGUCACGGGUUAUGUAACUUCCACCACAUCAUCAUCGUCAUUGUUCUGCUUGAUGAUGAGUUACAGUUCCUCCCUUACUGUGAUUUAUUCCCUGAAGCAACUGUACCAUGGCAGUGUGUGGACACACAGAACCGUGGUGUGUAGACUGGGAUCAGUGCGGAGCUGUACUUGGUCUCCACGGGGGUCUCUUCCCAGUGGAGAAGGGGUCUACUGUGCUGAGACAAAGACCAGGUCCACCCAGACAUCUCAGGACUAUGGACUGAAGAUCCGUGUAAAACACAACCACCUGGUGCUACAGAUGAUCAUCUGGGAAGAAAACACUAGAAGUCUGAGUGUAAACACCAGGCUGUGAAGACACGAUCCUGAGUGAAGAGGAAAAAUCUCAAUUUACAGACAAAACAUCUUAGUUUCUUUUCCUGACAAAAGCACCAUGAUGGGGAACUGGCUUAUUCUGGCUCACAGUCCAAGGGUACAGGUCAUCACGGUCCUGGGAAUCAAAGUGACAGGACCCUGGAGCAGCUGGUCACUUCACAGCCGCAGUCAGGAAGCAGAGAGUGAUGGACGCCCAACUCACUGUCUCCACUUUAUGCAGUCCAGGAUCCCCUGCCAGGGAAUGGUCCCACACACAGACAUCAGUAGUGAUGAGAAUUUUCCCUUCAAACUUGCUCUGAACCACUGAGUCACUCUCCAGCCCAUCCAAAUUAAUUUUUAAAUAGUUAUCUAUUGUGUGUUAACAGAAAAAAAAUGUUUAAUCUGAAAAAUAACCGUUUUCCAAAAUCAAACAACGGUGUGAGAAGAAGGGAUCUUUUAGCACAUUUUGUUUUUCUGUGUCCUCUUCUUGUCCAUUUUGUUAGGAGAUCGCUGGAUUUCCCUGUCUUCUUUGGCUUUAAUCACCAUUGUGGUUGAAGUAAAUGGGGAGAAACAUCCAACUUCACAGUCACACAGAAGAGCUGUUGUGUUUAAUGUCUUCAGGUAGCCAUGGACACUCAGUAUGAUACAAUAAGAAAAAAACACUUUUUAGCUUUUUUAAAAAAGGUUUAUUUUAUUUGAUGUAUGUGUUUUGCCUACAUGCGAGUACGUACAACACAUGGUACCUGCCACCCUAGGAGGUCGGAAGAGGGCAUCAGAGCCCUGGAGUUGUACAGGUGGUUGUGAACUCACGGGUGCUGGUUCAGUACAAGGGAGGGAUGGGUUGAGCUGAGGAGAGGGUGGUGCCUGCAGGGAGCAGAGUGGGGCCCAUGUGCCCAUCAGUCUUAGUUAUUGCCGUGAUAAUCAAAAUGAACCUGGCAGAGAAAGGGUUUAUUUCAUCUUACACUUCCACAUCCCAGUCCAUCUUCAAAGGGAUUCAGGGCAGGAUCUUGAGGCAGGAUCCUGGACGUGUGAACUGAAGCAGAUACCAUGAGGAACACUGCUUACUGCCUUGCUCCUCAUGACUUGCUCAGUCUACUUUCUGAUCCACCCAGGACCACUGCCAAGCUGUGGCAUCACCCACAGUCGGCUGGGCAGUCCCAUAUCAGUCAUUAAAAAGAAAGUGCCCUAGAGACUUGUCUAAAGGCAACAUGGACGGAGGGAUUUCCUCAGUUCAGGUUCCUCUUCCCACACUUGUCUGGGUUUGUGUCAAGUAAACAAACACUAAACAUCACAAGCUCACGAUGCAGGGUCCCUGGGACUGAGAACUGUGGGAGGAUGUAUACGAGCCCCUCCCCCUCUGGAGCAUCAGGGCCUCACCCUCCUGGGGGAGGCCUUUGCUGGGGUCCAGCCUUCUGCAGGUCAGAGAGACUGGGAACAAGAUGCCGAGUAGGUGAGGAAAAACACGGGCUUCUUCUUCUGAGGGAUCAAAGUGCUUCUUCAUUUCCUUUUCUUUCUGUUGCUUGUUCCGCUGUUACUUUUGGGUCUGUUCUUCUACCCAGAUGUUUCCCUUCUUCUGAUUUCCUGAUGACUUCCUUCUAACUUCUUUUUAUUCCUUACAGCUUAUAUACCCAAGCUUUUAAGCAACAUAAAAAUUAAAAUGUGGUUACAUUCUGUUUUUAAGUGAAUGAUUGCAAUGAAUACAAAUAAAAACAUCAUGCUUCCCAUUUCCCUUACAUGAUUAAACAUUUUACAAAUUACAGGUGAAAAACAAAUUACCCCAGGCACCUUCAUACAGUCAAACAUUUGCCUUUAGACUUCUCAUAGAUCAGGAGCCUUUCAGCCAUAGCUAUCUACAUAGGCUGAAAUUUUUAUAACUGCCAGAAAAAACGGUUAGUAUUCUCAGUAUCUUUAUUUUACAGUUCUGUCCAAUUAUCUUAACUAACUAUCCAAUUUUUUUUAUUACAUUAAGUCAGUUGUUUAAAGUUUUGUUUUAGCUAUGAUGCACACUGAAUCCUAUGAACAUAUUUCCCAAUUUCAAAAAGAACUUGAGUUAUCUCCUGGGACUUAAUUGUUUUUCGUAGUCAUCAACCUAAACCGUAGUCUAUGCGGCUCCUCAAGAGAAACUCUCAGGUCCUGGCUGCGUGACACUUCCUUGGUCCUAUUUUCUACCCUCUGCAAACCCUGCUUUAUCAGGGGUGGGGGCAAUACUGUAUCCUACCUUUAUUUAUAUUAAUUUUCCUAUUAAACUAACCUCUAUUAUAAUCUUUACUACAUUUGUUAAAAACCCUUAAUCAUCAAAAUUCUAUUUAAACUGACACUAUUAUUGUAUAAAAUCAUUUCUCCAAUGAAAACAGUACAGCUUAAGAGGAAAUCAUCUUCAUAAAUGAUCCACAGGUAGAAUUGCCUAGUGGAAUGGGAUAUUUCCAUGAGAUAAUCACACUGCAUCAAAGGCAGUGGGCAUCCCCCCUCACCCUCUAACACCAUGCCAGACACCAGAGAAAAAUGGCAGCAGCAAACACCUAAAGGCACAGCAGUAGCAGGAGACACUGUGGAGCCGCAGCCCUGGGGGCCUUGCCCAUCUGAGACUCACCCAUCAGUGCCCUACCUUCUGGUGGGCCGAUCUGAAGUUCAAGUGGCCCCUGCUGCUUCUCUGACAUGGACUCUGGCAGGACCCGCUGCAAGGACAGCUGACUGCAGAGGAGGGGACCCAGUGAGUCCCAACUGCACCCUGUUCCUCAGUCUUAGGACCUUUCUCUCCCUUGCCUGGAGGGCGACAUUGCUGAUAUAGUCCCAGGAGACUGAUAAAGUCAGGGAAAGUGGAGAUAGUGGGGAGAAGUGGGGACAUUUUCUUCCUACAGAACAGCCAAGCCUGAUUCUGCAGGGACUGAGGAGAGAUAGGUAGGUAGGUAAGUAGAUGAUGAUAGAUAGAUAGGUAGGUAGGUAGGUAGGUAGAUAGAUAGAUAGGUAGGUAGGUAGGUAGAUAGAUAGAUAGGUAGGUAGGUAGGUAGAUAGAUCAUAGAUAGAGGAUAGAUCACAGAUAGAGGGUAGAUAGUUAAGAGAAGACUCAGAAGGAGCAUUCUUCCUCUCUUUGCACAUUCAUAAUUUUUCUUUGGCUCAGAGUUUAUGAGGCUUCCCGUCCUGCAUCAAGGGACACCAAUGGCCUGCACAGCUGGGACAGCAUUCAGGGCUGACCUGUGGGGCUGUUCUGUUCUGAAAAGUCAGAGCAGAGCUGGAGGGUGACAUAGAGGACGGACAGGGAUGGGGCCUUGGGUCUGGUCUAACUGAGCAUUAGGGUCCAUCCUUCUUCUAGGUGAGGUGGCUGCUGCAUGGACGGGACAUAGAUGACGGAAUAAGGAUAGAAUGUGUCUUAGUCACUGGUCUACAGCUGUGCAGAGACACCAUGACCAAGGCAACUCUUAUAAAAUAAACCAUUUAAAUGGGGGCUUCCUUCCAGUCCAGAGGCUUAGUCCAUUAUCGUCACGGUGGGGAGCGUGGCGGCACACAGGCCGACAUGGUGCCAGAACGGUAGCUGAGGGCCACAUCCUGGUCUCUGGGCAGCAGACAGAGUGAGACAGGGACUGGCAUGGGCACUUGAAACCUCAAAGCCCAAGUCCAGUGGCACACUUCCCACAACAAGGCCACACCCUAAUCCUUCUAAUCCUCUCAGAGCCCACUCCCUGGUGACUAAGUACUCCAGCAUGUGAGCCUCUGGGGCCAUUCUUACUCAGAGCUCCACAGGAUGUUAGAGAAUUAAGCAGCAGCAUCUGGCACCAUCAGUCAGACUGAAGUGGGAGGGCAGGUGUGGAGGGGACCCCACGUCUCUGUCCUUUCUGACUCCCCAUCCUGUGACACACAGAGGGAGGUGCUCUUCUUGCUCAGUGACCUCAGCCUCAUCCUGGGAAGGCGGUGAUGGCAGCAGGUCAUGGCUCCUGUGACAGCCUGGACAGUUGUCCAGCCUUGUGUGUAGCAGGAGAGGACACAGGGGCCCUGGAAGCAGCAUGUGAGACCCUAGGUGCCCAGGUCCCUCCAUACCUGGGUCCCUGGUGGAACAAGGAGACCCUUUGUCAUAAGCUUUUUGUCUGAUAAACCUUCUGCUUGUGUAAAGAACUUGUGAAACAGACUGUGUAAGCUGUGAGUGUGAGUUCACGUGUCAGUCCACUUCUUCCAGUCACUUCUCACAUCACAUCAUCCCUGUCUGCAUUUCCCACACAGGCCCUCAGUGUCCCCAGUGUGGGGACACAGCCUGUCCUGAAGGAGGCUCACCAGCACCUCUGUCCCACAGCAGCAGGACGCUGUGCAGAAAGCAGGUUAGUGUCUCAGAUCGUCCUUCUCCACACAUGACCUGUGACACCAGCCUCUCAGCUUGGAUUUGCUUCACCAGUUCCAAGGGUUUGGAGGUUUCUCUUGCCUUCAGCUGCAUCCCUUGGCCUGGACAGGCAGCCCCAUACGGGUGCAGUGUCCAAGGAGACCACUAGAGGGCGUCAGUGCCUAGAGUUGGAGUUCAGGGCAGAUGUGAGCCACACCUUCACACACAGACAAGGUGCUGGGAUCAGAACUCUCAACCUCUGGAGGGCCAGUGAAUGCUCUUACCUGGUGGCCAUCUUUCCAGCCCCUUGAAGAUAUUUUUAAAUGCCAUUUAACCCUCCUGCACUGGACACCAACAACUGACACAUCAGUGAGGGAAUGAGACCAUGACAAGCUGCAAAGUCACAUGUAGACGAUGGGACAGUGACAUGAUUGUCACCUGGUUCACAGGAUUGUGAUGCAAUCCAAUUUCUGACAGCUAAAAUGUCAAGAAAGGCUACAUUUUUUGGCUAAUACAAAGUUUUUCAUGUCUGAAAAAUUUACAGACUUAUAGCAUUGGUUGGGCGAGGUCCCUGGAGAUCGAGAGCCAAGGAGUAAAUGCAUAAAGCUGAGGCCUAGCGACACAAGUAUUUCAGAUCGUCUCAGGGUCUCUAUUGCUGUGAAGAGACACCAUGGCCACAGCA